GCACACUUUUCGUAGCGCCUUGCAUUUAUCAUGUGGGUGCUUGCUGCGACAAGUUGUCCCCCUGUACCAAUCGGACACGCUCGAGAAACCGCGGGGAUGCGCUCCUUCCGGACUUGGCUUCUUCGCUUCCCUUCCUGCUCGCUCAAACAACCGCUGUGGCCGAAGAGGCGGCGCGUCGUUAUCUUCAUUAAAUUCACUCUGGACCAUUCCUCUAAGGGUUUCAUUGCAUUGUUACAUUGCUCUAUAAGAACAUGAAUAUUAUUGCCAGUGAAAAAAUACUCGUGUCGUCCGCAUAAAUAAUAAACCUUGCCUGAGACUUAAUAUUGGCGAUAUCAUUCAGAUAGAUAUUAAAAAGCAAAGGCCCUAAAAUACUUCCCUGUGGCACUCCACAAUAGACAGUUCUAGCCUUAGAAGCAAACGUGUCGAUUUUCACACUUUGUGUUCUAUUAGAUAACUAGGAUUUGACAAGAGAUAAUGCCUGUCCUUUUAAUCCAUAAUAGCUAAAUUUCUGCAAUAAAAUGUAAUGAUCAAAUAAAUGAAAGGCCUUAGAAAAGGCUACGAAAAUGCCAACAACUAUAGCUUUGUUUUCAAACUCUGUUAAUAUAUAUCCUUUCUGCUCUACUAAUGCUAACCCGACUGAUUUUUUCUUGCGAGAACUAAAUUAGUGUGGUGUUAACAGGUUAUGUUUUUCAAUAAACUUUGUCAUCCUCGAAUGAAAAAUUUUUUCAAACACCUUUGAAAAGAUUGGUAAAAUAGAUACCGGCCCGUACUUUCCCAAGUCAUUACGAUCUCCUUUUUUAUAUAGAACAGUUACUUUCGCAGACUGAAUUUUCACUGGAAAAAUUGCCGAUUCCAAAAACAUGUUUAAAAUAAAUGUUUAAAUGGGUGAGUAUUGGGGCAAUAAUUUCAACCACAUGUUUAAUCCUCUGUUUCGUAUCUGAUGGGACUGCCCCAACAAACCCGUCGAGGUAGGCAAACACCUACACAUAUACGCCCUUAAUAAGGAGCAGUGGGAUCCAGCUCGCAUCCAGGAAAGCAACCAGCCCUCAUCCGACGGGCAGCAAAGGCCAGCGGAGCCCUGGACUCAGGGCCCCGACCACAUCGACUCCGACUUUUUUUCGGCAAAUAAAGUUUAAUGAAUGAAUGAAUGAACCGUCUACGCCGUCGAUACCGUGACAUCGCAACGGCGGCGCCGAUUCUGGAAACGCGUCUACAGCGUCUGUAUCAUGGUUGUUGCAAUAAAAAGAAACUCUCGUCUAAAACAAGAGCAGCAUUCUAGAUACACUUGAAUAUUGUUGCGACAGUCAAUGAUUGCUUACGUGCAUCUCUCUUUGGUUUCGUGGUAACGACUACAUGUUGCAU